rnacentral:rRNA from 1 species
AUUGAACGCUGGCGGCAGGCCUAAUACAUGCAAGUCGAGCGAACAGAGGAAGAAUUUUCCUCUCUUACGUUAGCGGCGGGCGGGUGAGUAACACGUGUAUAACCGACCGUUAAGGAUGGGGUAACGUCGGGGAACCGGAUCCAAUAUCCGAUAAUAUGUUGAAACGCAUGGUUCAAUAGUGAAAGACCUCUUUGCUGUCACUUAUACAUGGUUCCUAGCCGGAUUAGCUAGUUGGUAAGGUAACGGCUUACCAAGGCGACGAUGCGUAGCUGACCUGAGAGGAUGAUCAGCCACACUGGAACUGAGACACGGUCCAGACUCCUACGGGAGGCAGCAGUGGGGAAUAUUGCACAAUGGGCGAAAGCCUGAUGCAGCCACGCCGCGUGUGUGAAGAAGGUCUUCGGAUUGUAAAGCUCUGUUAGUAGGGAGGAAGGAAUGUAAGAUAAUACCUUCACGUCUUGACGGUACCUACAGAAAAAGCAACGGCUAACUACGUG